UUCGGUAUAUAUUCGGUAAAGAUUAUAUUAUUAUAUUUUUAUUUCUUAAAUUAACCUUACACAACAUACUAUAAUCUACAUAUAAUUUGUUCAUGCUUAAUGCCGUUAGUUACUGAGUUACGAUUCUGUAAAAUUUUCAAAGACUUUAAAUGAAUGUUUAACGUCGUCAUUUUUCUGUUUUCUGUAUAAUAAACCUUUUUUUAAACUAUACACGUUGUUUGAAAAAGACCACAAGGUCGUUCAACUUUCAACAAGCUGUCUGUAAAUCAACAUAUUCCAAUAAUUACUAAAAAGAUGCGCCCAGUCAAAGUUCAAAUACCUACCGAAAUAAUGUUACUUGAUUUAUCUAUAGAUGUGAGUUAUUAUUGGAAACAUUUAGGAAGAAAACUUAAACUCCCUAACUCUAAAAUUGAAUCGAUAGAUAAAGAUCAUAUUAACUAUGGCAGUAUCGAUGAAAAAUCCUUUGCUAUGCUAUUAGAAUGGAAAGAAUUAACUCCUAAUGCCACAACGCAAAUUUUGUUUGAUGCUUUAAAAUCGUAUGGAAAAUUGGAAAUAGCAUUGAAGCAUUUUCCGCUAUAAAAUAUCUUGACGAAUUUAACUUGCUGCAACAAAGCAAAAAAAUAGCAAAAUAUGAAUGUAAAAAAACAAAGUUCUACAAUGAUAAAGAUCUAAACUGUGAAAUGUGACCGUUUAAGUUGGAUUGCAAAGCCCAAUUUUAGGAGCUUUUUAUUUCAAGUUUUAACAUAAUUUUUUUUAACGUUCUUUUUUCUUAUGGUAUAAGUGUAUAAAAAAGAAUAUUUAAAGUUUGUUCUUAGCUACGAAAACACUAUAAAAAUUUCUCUGCUUUA